UCCCUCACUUCUGCUGCGUCACUGUCUCACUGAACCAGUACCCAAAGCCACCAAGCAUUCCUCCUAGUUGAUGUAGAAACUAGAAACCCAUCCUUUGUGUGGAAAGCUUCGGCAAGGAUGUCGAGAUAUAGGUGCAAUGUAUCAAUGUCCGAUUAGGCCUCCUCCAUCGACAAAGAGCUCCACCAUUCUUCCAUCUAGGAGGAAGAAGAAGAUAUCCGGCAACGACCGACAGUGUUUUCAACUGUUAUCAGGUACUCUCUGAAUUGCAUCCUUUUGAGGACGGUUGUAAUAUUUGCUGGCGGUUUAGUGCACAAUUUAUUACCAAGGUUGUUAGAAACUGCCAAGGAUGCUACUCAAUGAGCAAGUUGAUUCCCUUCAAGUGGAGCUCAGCCAAUGCUUCUGCUACCUGGAUGGACAAGGUUUGAAUAUUGUUAACAGUCCCAGCAAGAAACUUUUCAAAAUUAUCUCUAACAACUGUCGCAGUGGCUCCUAUCUCCUGUCCUUAAAGAAUGCUGCGUCAACACUGAUCUUAAUCAAUCCCCUAGGAUGAAGUUGCCAGGUGAAAUUCGAAGCAGUUUGACAGAGUUUGGAGCUAAAAAUAGAAAAGCUGGCAGCACACCCCUGGGUUGGGUUUAGCGCUAGCAAGGGACUCAAACAUGCAUGAGCUCACUCCCUUUAGCGCGUUAAACGCCCAAUACAAUGUUUAACGCCAGCAGCGCUGACCGAAUUCCCCUUCUUUGGACUUCUUUAGUGGAUUUAGUAUUUAUUAGUUAUAUUUUAUUUUCUUUUUAUAAUUUUUGUUUACAAAUAAUAUCUUUUAGUUUUAGGGUUUAUUAUUUUAUUUUAUUUUCUGUAUCAAAUUAGGUUAGUAUAAAAGGGAAAAGGUCUUUUGUAUCUGGGAUCUUUUCUCUUCCGCACUUUUCAGAACCCUAGUUUUCUCUGUAAGUCAUGAGCCGCUAAACUUCUUCGGUUAAGGUUAGGAACUUUGUU